GCAAGAAUCGUCCCUAACACAGAAAAUAAAGAUAAAAUACACACCAAGCAUUUUCCUUCGAGAAUGAGUACACUAAACAUUGUUAAUAUGAAGUGAAGUUUCAAGGAGAAUCGAACAUGUAAUCGUCGUUCAUUGCUGAAUCAAGCGGGUGUUGCUCCAUUUGUGGUGGUCGGGGUCAAGUUCAGCAAGAGAAUUGUGGAGCAGAGAAAUUGCAAGGUGUGUAGAGGCUCUGGCCUUGUGUUGAGGGACAACAAGUAUUUUUCUCGAUGCCCUGCUUGCGGUGGGUUUCUGCCGUGGCAAUCCUGGAAGAGAUUCUUUACUGGUUAAAUGUUAUGGAUUCCUGAGAGGCUGAGACAAUACCUUUGUAUCCUCAUAAGUGUUUUGACAUUGAGUAUUCUUGUACUAGUUCCCAACUCAUCAUCAAGUAAUCUUUGUAUAUUAGCAAUACACUAUUUUUUAGCACUACAACUACUUGCCAGUAUACAAGGCAGAAAUAGUAUAGCUAAAGGUCAGUACCGGGAUAUCGAA